rnacentral:tRNA from 2 species
GUUCAACCCCUUCCCGUACUA